rnacentral:rRNA from 1 species
GACGAACGCUGGCGGCGUGCUUAACACAUGCAAGUCGAGCGGUAAGGCCCUUUCGGGGGUACGACGAGCGGCGAACGGGUGAGUAACACGUGGGUGACCUGCCUUUAGCUCUGGGAUAAGCCUGGGAAACUGGGUCUAAUACCGGAUAUGACCCUAUGGCGCAUGUUGUGGGGUGGAAAGCCUUGUGCGGCUAGGGAUGGGCCCGCGGCCUAUCAGCUUGUUGGUGGGGUGAUGGCCUACCAAGGCGACGACGGGUAG